rnacentral:lncRNA from 1 species
GGGUUGAGAGUUUUGAUGGGAAUCGAGUUGGUGAUGUGGGGGCUUUGGAGGGAAUUAGGAGAGAAGUAUUGGAUUAUGUGAUGUGUUUACUAGAGUUCCAUAUAUUUUUUUCUAGAGUUCCCAUUAUCAAAGUUCUAUUAUAGGCCAAGAGUUUGUGUUUGGCCGGGAUCUCUACAACGUAUCAAAAUUAUUGAACUCCUC